CACAGGGCUUGGGUUGUCUCUUAUGGCUUGGAUGGGUGCAGAAUGGGAGUUUUGCUGUUUUUUGGUUUUUAAUGGAGAUUCAAAAUAGGGAAGGGACCCCAUGUUCCCAGAAGCUUCAGAGCUGCUUUAGAGCUUAUCAAUACUUCUUUUGGACUUUCAUAGUACUCUAGUAUUUCUGUGGAUGAAGAAUGUGAUGCAUUUUAAGAGCAAGUUAGAAAAAAUACAAAGAAUAAAUGUUGAUGCAAAUCCUUUAGAGGUUUUCUCAUAUUUUAAUAUUCAUUCUGGAGAUGCGAUCAGCAGUCCACGAAGUCCCCUUCUUCAGAUAUCACAGAUUAAACAGAGAUUUAAGACCAGGUAAUGAAUUUUUUUGUGUGUGUGAGAGGAAGAUGGGCCCUGAGCUAACAUCCAUUGCCAAUCUUCUUUUUGCUUGAGGAAGAUUGUCGCUAAGCUCACAUCUUGUGCCACUCUUCCUCUAUUUUGUAUGUGGGACACUGCCACAGCAUGGCUUGAUGAGCGGUGUGUAGGUCUGCACCCAGGAUCUGAACCUGCAAACCCUAGGCCACUGAAGCGGAGUGUGCAAACGUAGCACAAUGCCACUGGGCCCACCCCUCAGGACACUUGGUAGCAGUAAAAGGUUGCCCUGAACACUUGACAGAAAGUCAAAGGCAAGAGUAAUAGACAGAAAUACAAAACCUCGGGUCUUGGCUUUAUCACCUGGAGCUACAUAAUGCUGCCACCAAGCCUGCUGUUAGGGUUGUUCAAGUGCCAGCAUCAUUACAGGCCAGAAGACCCUGGAGCCCCUUCGCUGUUGGCCAUGUGACAGCCCCUCAGAUGGCAAAGGCAGACUUGUGGGCUGUCUACAGAUCCGGACACCUGGAGGCUCGGCUCUGUUCCAAGAGGUGAUUUAUGUAGGCAACACAACCCGAGGAGAGGAAAGCCUACGCGGCCCUUUAGACUUCACAUCUUCUUCUACGCCUGAUAGGACUUUCGCAUUUUACAACUGCAUAAUAAUUCUGUUAUUAGGAGGAAUGCCCCUUCAUGUGCCCCAAAUAAAAAAAGGAAAAGUUAAAACCAGAAGUCUUCCAAAACUUAACAUGUCGGUUUUCUCAGAUAGGAAAACCAGACAAGUUACCUCACAAGAAGCAUAGGCUGUGCCACAAACCUUGCUCUUAGUUUUCUUUCGGUCUGAGCGUCCUCAGAUGGGGGUAGGUGGAUGUCUCCAGUUCUACUGGGACUUUUGGAGAAAUUGAAGGAAGGGAACCUCAUUAGCAGAAGGACAAGGAACUAGUCCAGGCGAUAUCUGAAUAUUUAUUAUUUGACCUUAUCUUGAAUGGAAAGGAAAGGCUCUUUGUUCAAAAAACUUCUGACUGAUGCCUGUUCUUUGGACUUCCCUCAUUGCUUUAUAAAAAAAACCUAUUAAUUAACUUAGUGCCUGUUAGAAAGAAGUGAGCUUUCUCUGAACUCUCACAAUUGGUCAUUACUGCUGGUAAGAGAAGCAGCAUUAUGAUUUCCUUUUACAUAUGAAGAAAAUGACGUUCAGAUUAACUUUAUAAUCAUGCAAUAAAUAAUUUGGAGAUCUGGGACCCAAGCAAGCAAAGGGCUAUGGCAGGGAGACCUGGGCUUUUGUUCUGACUUUGCCUACAGCUCGAGGCCACCACUUUGGUCCUUAGUUUUCUUGCCUUAAAAUGGGUUCAGUGGAUUAGAUUGGGGUGGUAACCUUUUUCUGUAAAGGGCCAGAUGUAAACAUUUGUGGCUUUCUGGGCCAUCCAGUCUCUGCGGCAACUACUCAACUCUGCCACUGGAGAGUAAAAGCAGCCACAGACAACAUGUGAAACAAACGGGUGUGACAUUGUGCCAAUAAAACUUCAUUUGCAAAAAUAGGCAGCGGCAUGGAUUUGGUCCAUAGGCUGCAGUUUGCAGACCCCUGGACUAGAUGAUAUAGAAGUUUCUUCUACUGCUAAAAUUUUAUGAUUCAACUUGUUUUAAUGGCAAUGCUAUUUCCCUAGGAAAGUCAUCUUGAUUACACAAUCGUCUGCUGAUUAUACAGUUUAUGAGUACUUAAAUAUUUUUCUGAUGUUCAUUGUAGCAUGAUUCACAAUAGCCAAGGUAUGGAAACUACUUAAGUGUCAUCUGUUAAUGGAUGAAUAGAUAAAAAAGAGGUGGUGUAUAUAUACAAUGGAAUAUUAUUCAGCCAUGAGAAAGAAGGAAAUCCUGCUAUUUGUGACAACCUAGAUGGACCUUGAGGGCAGUAAGCUAAGUGAGCUAAGUCAGACAGAGAAAGACAAAUACUUACAUGUCGACCCUAAAAAAGCCAAACUCGUAGAAACAGAGAGUAAAAUAGUGGUUACUGUCAGGCUGGGGGGUGGAGAAUCGGGGAGAUGUUGAGCAAAGGGUACAAACUUGCAGUUGAAGAUGAGUAAGUUCUGGAGAUCUAACACACAGCAUAGUGAUUUAGCCAACACUAUUGUAUUAUAUACUUCAAAGCUGCUGAGAGACUAGAUCUUAAAUAUUCCCCUUACAAAAGAGAAAUGAUAAUUAUGUGAGUGCUAGAGGAUUUAGCUAAUGCUGUGGUGAUAAUCAUACUGCAAUAUACAAAAGUAUCAAAUCAAUACAUUGUACACCUUAAAUUUACACAAUGCUGUAUGUCAAUUAUAUCCAAUAAAAAGUA
ensembl:lncRNA